ensembl:misc_RNA Y_RNA Y RNA
GGCUGGUCCAAGUCCAGUGGUGUUUACAACUAAUUGAUCACAACCAGUUACAGAUUUCUUUGUUCCUUCUCCACUCUCAUUGUUUCAUUUGGCUAGCCUAAA